GUGGGUUGGUCUCAUCGUGUGAAAUUAUGUUGCCACAAUCCUGGCCUAACCCUUGGAGGAUCCCUUUGUGCUGCUGCUUGUACAGAGUAGCUUUGCACCAGCCCUUGCUGAAGAUGAUGGCAAACUUCUCGGUACAUUUAUUCUAUGGCAGAAGACGCCAGUGAUGAGGGAUUGCCAAUAUACCUCAAGGGAGAACUGUUUUUCCUUGCCUGGCGCACCUCGAUCUUCACCUUGAAAGGUUUGAUCUGCAAGACGAGACUGGCAUUGCCCUCCAGACAGGGUAGCAUCCCAUCAUCCGGGAUCUCCAGGUUGAACCUCUGCAGCAGCCGGGACAUGAAGA